CCUACGGGUGGCAGCAGUGAGGAAUAUUGGUCAAUGGACGAGAGUCUGAACCAGCCACGUAGCGUGAAGGAUGACUGCCCUAUGGGUUGUAAACUUCUUUUAUAUGGGAAUAAAAUGUUCCACGUGUGGGAUUUUGUAUGUACCAUAUGAAUAAGGAUCGGCUAACUCCGUGCCAGCAGCCGCGGUAAUACGGAGGAUCCGAGCGUUAUCAGGAUUUAUUGGGGUUAAAGGGAGCGUAGGUGGAUUGUUAAGUCAGUUGUGAAAGUUUGCGGCUCAACCGUAAAAUUGCAGUUGAAACUGGCAGUCUUGAGUACAGUAGAGGUGAGCGGAAUUCGUGGUGUAGCGGUGAAAUGCUUAGAUAUCACGAAGAACUCCGAUUGCGAAGGCAGUUCACUGGACUGCAACUGACACUGAGGCUCGAAAGUGUGGGUAUCAAACAGGAUUAGAUACCCGUGUAGUC
rnacentral:rRNA from 1 species